GUUCAGUUCAAUCUCUAUUGAAGUUGUAUCCACAAACAAAUAAUAAAUAAUUCAACAUAAAGCCAUUCAUGGACCCUGAUACAGCUCUUUGCUUGUAUUGUGUCUUUAAGCACCAGCUGCAGUGCCUUAAAACAGUUCCUUAGGAGACAUUAUGAUGGACCCACUUGGUGGUGUUUCGCUUAACCAGUGUGAUGAUGAUUCUAGAAGAGAACUGGGAAAAUAUGAAAACACGUGUCUCUGAAGCAGAAGUUGUGCCUGGAGAGGGAAUGGAAAUAUGCCAUAGAAGUGAGGCAGAAGAUCAUUCUGGCUUAUCGGUAAGAUUGUCCUCUGGAAGGAUGAACAUGUGUCCCUGGCCGUCUUCUGAAACAGGCCAGAUACAAGGAGCCGGUAGUCUGGAGUUGGGGCAGAACAUUCAGUAAAAAAUUAGGUGUUAUAAGUGAUAAGAAGAGAAACACUUGUAUUUGAAAAGGACCUGAUGA
rnacentral:lncRNA from 1 species